CCUACGGGGCGCUGCAGUGAGGAAUAUUGGUCAAUGGACGCAAGUCUGAACCAGCCAUGCCGCGUGCAGGAAGACGGCUCUAUGAGUUGUAAACUGCUUUUGUACGAGGGUAAACGCAGAUACCCGUAUCUGUCUGAAAGUAUCGUACGAAUAAGGAUCAGCUAACUCCGUGCCAGCAGCCUCUGUAAUACGGAGGAUUCAAGCGUUAUCAGGAUUUAGUGGGUUUAAAGGGUGCGUAGGCUGUCGGAUAAGUUAGAGGUGAACUCCCGAGGCUCAACUUCGGAAUUGCCUGUGAUACUGUUCGGCUAGAGAGUAGUUGCGGUAGGCGGAAUGUAUGGUGUAGCGGUGAAAUGCUUAGAGAUCAUACAGAACACCGAUUGCGAAGGCAGCUUACCAAGCUACUUCUGACGUUGAGGCACGAAAGCGUGGGGAGCAAACAGGAUUAGAUACCCUGGUAGUC
rnacentral:rRNA from 1 species